GAUGAACGCUAGCUACAGGCUUAACACAUGCAAGUCGAGGGGUAGCAGGGUAGCAAUACCGCUGACGACCGGCGCACGGGUGAGUAACACGUACUCCAACCUUCCCAUCACUCGGGGAUAGCCUUUCGAAAGAAAGAUUAAUACCCGAUAGUACUUUUUUGAGGCAUCUUAAGAAAGUUAAAGAUUUAUUGGUGAUGGAUGGGGAUGCGUUCCAUUAGAUUGUUGGUGAGGUAACGGCUCACCAAGUCUUCGAUGGAUAGGGGUUCUGAGAGGAAGGUCCCCCACAUUGGUACUGAGACACGGACCAAACUCCUACGGGAGGCAGCAGUGAGGAAUAUUGGUCAAUGGGCGAGAGCCUGAACCAGCCAAGUAGCGUGAAGGAUGAAGGUCCUAUGGAUUGUAAACUUCUUUUAUAGUAGAAUAAAGUGAUCCACGUGUGGAUUUUUGUAUGUAUACUAUGAAUAAGGAUCGGCUAACUCCGUG
rnacentral:rRNA from 1 species